AUGUCAAUAUCUGAUUGGAUGAGAAACUGAGAAGAAAAUUUUUUUUUCUUUGCUUUCUCCGUCGCCGUCAUCGUCACUUCCCCAAUCGAUCUCUUCUCUUUAUCAUCUCUCGUCUUGUAAUCGAAGAGUAUGGAGUCAUCGGAUAAACACGACGACGUUUCUUAGCCCGGCAGAGGAAGGCGGAGAGAUGGAGGUUCAGUUUUUCAGGCGGCUCGACGGAGAGUUCAACAAGGUUUUGAGGAGGAAAUAGCUGAUGAAGCAGAGACAGGGAAGAUAUAUAAAUCUACUUUGAUCUUUAUCUGGUUUUACCUUGAGUGUUUGCAUUUGUCUGAAAAAGAAAAAGUUAUACGUAUAUGCAUUUGUCCGUUUUCAAUCCAUUAAUAAUUUACUUAAUAACCAAAGCAGAGACAGGGAAGACAGGCUUGUUCAAAUCGUCAAAUGCAAUGCAGAGUUUUUUGGCUU